AACCUUUCUGAGCUUCAGCUGGGUCACAAGCCUCUCCCCGUGAGGCUGCUGUAAGAAAACAGGGGAGACGCUCUAGCCCGUGCCCCCGCUGUCGGUCAGGACUGCCGUAACUCCUCUGGGCUGACCUCUAUUUUCUCAUCUCGUCCUGAUAAAGCCCAGGCCCCAUCCUUCUGAGUGACUUCAGUGAGGUCCCUGCGGAGGGCCGACCUCUGAUAGUGGUGGCGUGGACAUGGGAUGUCACACUGUGGUCCCAGAGCCCACGGGCUUGGCCGCUGGGCGGUGCCAGCCUGCUGCCUGCCCACAGGCCUGAUGUCUGCUCCGCAUUCUGUUGCUGGUGCAGCUGGGGCUCUGUGCAUGCACGUUUGUUCCAGAGACGGUCAUGUCUUCCCGAGGACCCAGGAAGGCUCCUGGAGUUUGGCUUCCUAGGAAUGUGACCUGGGACAGACGCCCCAUCUCCCGCUGCCUGUUUCCAUGUCUGCAAACCGGGGAGGCAGCACUUCACCCGUGUGUCGUCAGCACCCCCAGGGGCACGGCCCCAAGCAGGUUUUCACAGCUGGAUGAAGUACAUGAGCACACUCCUGCGCGUGCCAGUGCCGUCCCUGUAGUUUUGCGCUUUGCUCUGCCUUAACGCGCGCUCCUUCCCGUGUUAUUGUGGUCUUUGUCCGUGUUGUUGAUGGCGGCGACGGCGUGUUGGACUGUGCUGAGAGCGGGCUGCUUGCUUUCCUCCUCUCUCACAGAAUUCGCUGUGUGGAGCUGGCCGCGUUUCUCAGGGACACGGGGGAGUGUGUGGUCUGCUCUGUCUCGCUGCCCCCGAGAUGCUUGGCUGCACCGUGAGGUCUGAAGGACGGCUGAGCCACCGCGGCUGGGUGCUGUGCGAGGCGCAUCCGCCAUUUCUGACACGUGAUGCUGAAACGCCACAGCCUCUAAAAUUCUAAGUGUGUUUUUGGGAGUUUGGAUGUGAGCUUAUCUGAAGUGACUGAAGCUAUGAAUAAGUUUUUAUAAAAGUUAUUUAUGAACCUU